GAUGAACGCUGGCGGCGUGCCUAAUACAUGCAAGUCGGGCGAACGGACGAGAAGUUUGCUUCUCUGAUGUUAGCGGCGGACGGGUGAGUAACACGUGGUUAACCUACCUAUAAGACUGGGCUAACUUCGGGAAAUCGGAGCUAAUACCGGAUAAUAUUUUGAACCGCAUGGUUCAAACGUGAAAGACGGUCUUGCUGUCACUUAUAGAUGGAUCCGCGCUGCAUUAGCUAGUUGGUAAGGUAACGGCAUACCAAGGCAACGAUGCAUAGCCGACCUGAGAGGGUGAUCGGCCACACUGGAACUGAGACACAGACCAGACUCCGACGGGGAGCAGCAGUAGGGAAUCUUCCGCGAUGGGCGAAAGCCUAACGGUGCAACACCGCGGGAGUGAUGAAGGUCUUCGGAUCGUAAAACUCUGUUAUUAGUGAAGAACAUAUGUGUAAUUAACUGAGCACAUCUUGACGGUACCUAAUCAAGAAGCCACGGCUAACUACGUG
rnacentral:rRNA from 1 species